CAGUGCUGUUUUCCGUGGUAGCGAUCUUCCUUUCUAACCGCUUCCCCCUGCGUCGUUCAUUUCCGUCGGAGGAGAGGUCGAGGAAGAUGCUUUUCCCUUGGCUUUUCCCUGGCUCGGAAGUCCUUUUAUGGCUGGAUGAGGACGUGAGACAAGAUCACUUAUAUGUGGCCAAUUUACUGUGCCAUGAAGACUUUUUGGCAAGUCGAGUUACAGGAGCUGGAUAAUGGAUGACACAGAAAGGAAGGGUAAGGAUGCCUUGAAGCAGGCCUUGAAAUUGGAAAACACAUUAUCCAUGUUUUCCUGCUGACUGGAAGGAUUCACAGUGAUGAAGGGUCAACAGUUUCUGUUCCAUUCAAGACUUCAUAGGCUGGGAUGAUACGAUGAGUUCAAGUUGGCAUUUCCCUGGGUCAGUGAACAAGAUGCUGCUGGUGUUUUUUACUAUGACAGGUUUCUUGACACAACAGCUGAUUAACAGCCUGAAAGCAAGCAAUGGAUAUAUUUAAUGGCUUUCGUGCUGUCGGUGAAUGAGCGUAGUGCAGGACGGAUGCGGUGGAGCUGGCACUUUCUUUCGGACAAAAUGUUCAUCAGAUCAUAUGGCAUUACAAGUUUAAACUGCAACAGCGGCGUUUCAGCGAUGCUGUCAUCUUCUCAGCCUUCUCUUUCUCACAGCUGCAACACUAUCAUCAGAAGUCGAGAAAUCUGAACGUCUCAUCACGCUGACUACUCUUGUGAUGAGGUGACCCGAGCAAUGCUUGGUGUGCCGCGACCCAUGGAGCUUAUCAGUGGCAGUGGGACGGAGGCAGUCGCUGCACGAGUGCCAUGAGCAUAGAUGACAGGAAUGCAUCGGUCCUGUGUUUGUGGCGAAUGGAGAACAUCGGGAGGAGAGUUGUGGAUCAGCAUUUGAUGAAAGCUGGGAACUGCUAGAACAAACGGCGGUCUUUUUCCCUUGUUCAAUCCCAAGACAUACACUGGUAGAGUUGUGAUGGUAUGUAAGUGCGACAAAUACACGUUACCGAUGAAAAA
rnacentral:lncRNA from 1 species